AGACGUGAGGGACGGGAAGAGACAAUACCAGCGAAUACAGAGGGGUCCAGCUCGGCAUCGAGGGUGAGUGGAUGAGGGUGGAAUGAAUACCGGUUGGUAUUGGACUUAAUUUCCAAUUUCGAAUUUCAGGACAUCCAAACAGCUAGCAUUCGAGGCUGCCAAUACCAAUUUCGAAUUUCAAGCCUAAAUAUCUACAUCCAAACACAGGUUUUAACUUCUAAUGGGCAAGCCCCUCCCUAUAAAUAUAAAGGGUCAUGACUGAUUGAAAAGAAUGCAAUCGAUCAAAACAUA
rnacentral:lncRNA from 1 species